AACGAUUUUUACCCCCAGAUGGGUAAAUAUCAACAAAAAAAAUCUGUUUUUAUCAGUUUAAUAUCUGAUACGUCUCCUAUCUGGGGACCAUAUAUUAAAUGGAUUUUUCAAAAAGGGAGAUGGAAAAAGAGCUUGCUCUGUCCACUCCACGCAUUGACCUGGUAUUGCAGUACCUCCAGGACCGGUGCACCCCUU